rnacentral:snoRNA from 1 species
GCGCGCAGCCGAAGAAACCAGCGCGAGCCUGAACCGGUGCUGCGCUGGUGCCGACACUGUGCAAGAUUG